AGAAACCCCGUUAUUCAGCUCCACAAAAUCCUCCUUUUUAACUUCUUAUUUCCUUACUACUUUGAUCUCUCUGAAUUUUCGUUCUUCUUCAAACUUAAUACUCUCUCUCUGUACAAUCAAUAUGGCUAACGCAGCAUCUGGGAUGGCAGUGCAUGAUGACUGCAAAUUAACGUUCUUGGAGCUGAAAACAAAAAGAACUCACCGA
rnacentral:misc_RNA from 1 species